rnacentral:rRNA from 1 species
AGAGAGCGUAACAGCUCACUCAUCUAGAGAUUUUGCGUCGAAAAUAAUUGGGGCUAAGUAUAUGACCGAAUUUGAGGAUUCGUGAACUUCAUAGAGGAAAAAAAUUGUUCUUUCGCUUUUGCGAUUAAGAUCGGUGAGAAGGUGAGAAGAGGUGGAUUAAUCCUCUUUUAUAAAGCAAGUAAUUGCUUCCCCUUUUCAUUGUCCAGUAAGGUGGCUAUACGGUUGAAAAACUAGUCGUCGCCUUACUUCCUUUAUGAAGUUCACGAGUGGUAGGAGAGUGUUCCAAUCUUCCGUCGACAGGCGGAUAUAGCGAUGAAGUAGGACUCGCGAGAGCCUAUGGAGCGUUUGGAAGUAAGAAUGUUGGCACAAGUAACCGCAAUGCGCUUGAGAACAGCGCACGUCGAAAGAUCAAGGUUUCCUUGGUAAUGUCAAUCAGCCAAGGGUUAGUCGGGCCUAAGGGAAUGGUGAAAACCGUACUCGAUGGACACAGGGUUAAUAUUCCCUGACUUCCUUAUUUUGUGAUGGUAGGACGGAGUGUAGUAUAUAUCGCUCAUUAUUGGAUUUGAAGUUUGUGUCUUAAUUGUUCUCUAUAGGAAAAUCCGUAGAGUGCCUUCAAUGGCAAAUGAAAGAGAAGCAAAAAGUUCUCCGACCACGGUCGGAGGACAAUGAUAUAAAGCACGCUUCCAAGAAAAUUAUCUAAACUUAAAAAUAAGGAAUCCGUACCGCAAACCGACACAGGUGAUCAGGUCGAGUAGACCAAGACGAACGAGUGAGUGAUCCCCAAGGAACUCGGCAAAAAAGCAGCCGUAACUUCGGGAUAAGGCUUCCCUAUUUUGUCGAAGACAAAAUCGCGGACUUUCGCAGACUGAACGCAGAAUUACGCGGACAGAAUGCGAAAUGCUAGAUAUUUCAUUGAAUUAAUGUAGAAUUUUUCUGCGUUAUUCAGCGUGAUGUCAGCGUCCGUCAGCGAUUUCGCCUUCGGCGGAAUAGGGCGCAGCGAAAGUUUUCCUGGCAACUGUUUACCAAAAACACAGCUCCCUGCGAACUCGCAAGAGGAUGUAUAGGGGGUGACACCUGACCAAUGCCAGAAGGUCAAAUAUCGCCGUUGGCUCCGACUUUACGUCGGAGUUGGUGAGUGAUAUAAGCCCUGGUGAAUGUCGGCCGUAACUAUAGACAAAUCCGUUGUAGUUACGAAAAUAAAUCUUGCCAAAUGCUGGAAACUCUGGGUCUCAAGAAAAUAGUUUUGAGAUAAAAAAGUAUUGAUUAAUACGAACAACAUGUCGAUGUUGUCGUGACAAUUUAAUCAUGCAGACAAUCAGCAGGAAAGACUUCUACUAUAUAAAAUUUCUAAAUGAAUCAAGAAGAAAAAUGGCUUAAAAGUAUUAAUUCAAAAGAUGGAUAUUACAUAGCUGGUUUUACUGACGGAGAAGGAAGCUUUAAUGUUUCCUUAAAAAAAAGAAAUGAUUAUGUGGGAGAAUGGAAAAUAACAGCUUCGUUUAAUAUUUCUCAAAAAGAUAGAGUAAUACUUUCAUGGAUUAAAAAAAUUCUUGGAUGUGGAACUCUUCGAGAAAGACCAGAUGGAGUUGUAUAUUAUGAAGUGACUAAUGUCGCUUCAUUAAAAGAAAAAAUUAUUCCAUUCUUUAUUAAGUUUAAUUUUAUUUCUUCACGAAAAAAGACAAAUUUUUCAAUCUUUAAACAGAUUGUAGAAAUUAUGUCUAAUGGUGAGCAUCUCAAAAAAGAAGGAUUUAAAAAAAUUCUUAGAUUAAGAGAAACUCUAAAUGAAGGAAAAGGAAGAAAACGAAAAUACAAUUUAUCAGAUGUGAUAAAAGUAGAAGAAUCCUCAGAGACUAAACGCAAGACGAUUUUAAAUCAAUAAUUGGAGUCGACGAUUUAAAAACGAUGAUAUAGUCCGACCUCUAUGGCGACAUAGAGCUAACAUGUUUAAAGUUUUUAUUUGGUAAACAAAAAAAUACACAUUCAACCUUAAGAAAAGAACGGUCCUAAGGUAGCGAAAUACCUUGUCGGGUAAGUUCCGACGCGCACGAAUGGUGUAAUGACUGGGAAACUGUCUCGGGGAUCAGCUCGGUGAAAAUACAAUACCGGUGAAGAUGCCGGUUAAGUGCAGUUAGACGAAAAGACCCUCGAAGCUUUACUAUAACUUGAUAUUGAGUAUGUUUUUAGACUGCGUAGCAUAGAUGGGAGAGGUUUGAAGUGUUCGUUUUCGGACGGAUUCUACUCGUCAGUGAAAUACCAUUCUUUCGUGAGGCAUAUUCUAAUCAAUACGGCAAAAACGUAUUGAGACAGUAUCUGGUGGAUAGUUUUACUGGGGCUGUACCCUCGAGGGUUUAAAUUUAUUUGAACCUUCGAAUUAUGCAGCCUCAAAAGAUUUGAGCAAUCUUGAAAAAAAUAAAUAGGGGGGCUUUCACGAGUAAUCGUGAUUGUUAAGUUGGCUAU